GAACCACUGUUCUACUUUGUUUCUGAGAAGUUAGCCUGCUGAUGGAAAGACAAAGUCCGGUGUCCUUGGAACUGCCACCAAUUCCACCAGAGAGAUGUUAGUGAUGACCCUGUGUCACGCAUGAGCAGAAGAAAGAAUAAGAAAAGUUAAAAUAGCACUGAGGCGAUGGUGCAGUUUAAUACGUCUGACAGCAGGAAACCAAAACUACUAGAAGAGUUGGCACCCAAAUCAACAAGCAACAUUAUAUUGGUAUCUUUCAUAAUUGGGCAUCCUUGCUUGACCUAAAUGGGAAGAACGAUCUUACAAGAGGCAUCCGUUGCAAAAUGUUGCAGCAUACAGAGCUCCUGUCCUUUCCAGAACAUGCUUUUCUAUUUCUUCUCCUCCUGGCUUCUUGUUCUCUGUCCCAAUGGACAUUCAGUAUUCUGCGCACACCACUGAGCCCGUCUUACAGAUCUCUCCCUCUUACAAGGUGCCAUUUUGACUUUAUAAGGAUGGGAAAUGUGCUAUAUUAAUAUAAAUGUAGUUUGGGCAUCUGGAAACAAGAAAUGAAUAAUUGUAAAUA